CUUGUGACCGGUGGGGGUUAAGUUGUUGGGAGCCAUUUGACUGGUGUCGGGAGAUCGGCUGCUUCCCCAGACAAGUCGGUAGGCCGCAGGACUGGACAGCCGAAUUGAGCGCCGGUUUGAGGGUUUUCUGGGCUACUAUCGACGGCACCGGUGAGUGACAAAUUUGCUGGUCGUUUUGUGCGGUAUAACGCAUUUAGUCGCUUUUUUUGUGCAGGAGCUACUCAGACAUGUCCGGCCAUCUUCGCGGUCAAGCCCACCGCACUGCUUUAAUAUUUAAUAUCCCCCUUUAACAUACUUUUAAUAAACCAUUAAAUACUAUUUACAAGAAAUGUUUAGGAAAGCUGUGUAAGUCACAUGCAGGGAGGUGUGACUAGGACUGCAUAAACCAAGUGAUUUAACUCCUAAAUUUCAGGGAACUCACCAGUGACAAUUC